GCGCUUGUAGUCUAGUGGUAGGACUUCGGCCUUCCAAGCCGAAAACCCGGGUCCGAAUCCCGGCGAGCGCA
rfam:Candidatus Altiarchaeales archaeon A3 Ga0073111_1092, whole genome shotgun sequence.